rnacentral:rRNA from 1 species
ACUCCUACGGGAGGCAGCAGUGGGGAAUAUUGCACAAUGGGGGAAACCCUGAUGCAGCCAUGCCGCGUGUGUGAAGGUAGGCCUUCGGGUUGUAAAGCACUUUCAGUNGGGAGGAAGGUAGUGUAGUUAACACCUGCACUAUUUGACGUUACCUACAGGAAAGAACACCGGCUAACUCCGUGCCAGCAGCCGCGGUAAUACGGAGGGUGCGAGCGUUAAUCGGAAUUACUGGGCGUAAAGCGCAUGCAGGCGGCCUGUUAAGUCAGAUGUGAAAGCCCGGGGCUUAACCUCGGAAUUUGGCCAUUUUUGAAAAACGGGAG